rnacentral:sRNA from 1 species
GAAAAGUAAAUUAUUAGGGUUGUCCAAUCAGCCUUUACAACCAGAGCUUAACAAAAGUGAUACUAGCAUAAUGCUAAAGUGGCAGGUGCUGUCUAGGACAAGUUAAAGGAAAUGUUGACAUUCAUCUUGAUUUCCUAAACUUUAAAUAAAACAUAAUUUAUAUAUUUACUUUGUAAAUCUGUGAUGGUUGACUUUCAAGGAUUUUGGAAGUAUUGACUUUUCAUGCCUUGGUUUAUUACUAUUUUUUUUGUUAAUGAUUUUAAAUGAGUUGCCUUAAAUAGCUCUUUUUUCUUUUCUUUUCCCUUAGGUCACAGGGAUUAUGGACCCAGAACAGAUGCUGAUUCAGAAUCUGAUAAUUCAGAUAACAACACAAUCUUUGUGCAAGGACUUGGGGAGGGUGUGUCUACAGAUCAAGUUGGGGAGUUCUUUAAACAAAUAGGAAUUAUCAAGACAAAUAAGAAGACCGGAAAACCAAUGAUAAAUCUUUAUACAGACAAGGACACAGGAAAGCCAAAGGGGGAGGCAACAGUGUCAUUUGAUGACCCUCCUUCAGCUAAGGCAGCCAUUGACUGGUUUGAUG